GUGAUUUCGCUCUGUGAUUCAGCUCAGUGAUUCAGCUCAGUUCAGAGGCUGGCCGCAUCUGGCUGUGCUCUGAUGUCCAUCGAUCCCAUCCUCGUCGCCAGUGUUAUGUUGUGGGUUGACAUAGCAGACGACACAGCGAUUUCUCCAAAGCAGCUCUUUAUUUUGUAAGCUGGAACAGAACUGAACAGCAAACAGCUCAGCCGGCCUGCUUUUAUAGGCAGCCGGCUGUCAACAUUGUAGCAACAACAACCCAGGGUUUCCCGCCUAAAGUAACUGACGUGGACCUGAGUGAAAACUAUCUACAGUAUCCCCCUGCUGGCUCAGGGUGAGAACUUCAGUACAUGACAGUAAGUUUAACGAAUAAUAAAAACUAUAAGUAAAAUGUGAGUCAAGUUGGAAUAUAACGUAGUUAGCAGCUGGAAAAGUAAGAAAGGUCUAAAAAAAAUAGAGGUUCAUCACUAGAAAGCAGAAAGUAGCAAGGAGAAAGCUGCCAAGGGACCCAGAAGCUGAACUGAAGGAUGCAAAUUGAUAAAUAUUAGCUUGAUAAGGGGAAUGGUUUAGAAUAGCUACAGCUGGAUGUAUUCUCUGUUUAAUUUUAUAAUGAAUAACUUCUCAAACUAUGAAAUUAGUCUGCUCCCCAUUUUAAAAAUCAUUUUAUCAAAAGCUGCUGAAAUUCUUCCCUUACUAAAACUUUUAAAGAACAGCAUAGUUUUCUUUUUUUAAAAAAACUGUGAGGCCUUAUAAUCCCCAAGUGCCAUAUUAUGCUAUCCAGUAUAGGGGUUGUGUUGUGCCAGCUAAAAUCUGAAAGAUUAGAUGGUUGUUUAGUGCAGGUGGCCAGAGAAAAAGAAAACAUCCACUUGGUGGCAGCGGUGAGAAGAGGGAAAAGGAGGGUUCCCAUGACUCCUUUCCCACCUGCAGCCUUGGCUCUCAGUCACAAAACAGUAAGAAGAAAAAAGUUUUGUUAUGUGUACGAAGGGGAGGGAGUUGUUGGGUCAAUUUAGUCAUAUCGAUUUGUAUGCUUCCAGUGUGUGUGUGCGUGUUAUGUUGUUGUCUUGUUCCCUCUUUCCCCCAGAAUACACUUAGAGCAUCAUCAUUGAUUGUUGUUGUUUAGUCGUUUAGUCGUGUCCGAUUCUUCGUGACCCCAUGGACCAGAGCACGCCAGGCACUCCUGUCUUCCACUGCCUCCCGCAGUUUGGUCAAACUCAUGCUGGUAGCUUCGAGAACACUGUCCAACCAUCUUGUCCUCUGUCGUCCCCUUCUCCUUGUGCCCUCAAUCUUUCCCAACAUCAGGGUCUUUUCCAGGGAGUCUUCUCUUCUUAUGAGGUGGCCAAAAUAUUGGAGCCUCAGCUUCAGGAUCUGUCCUUCCAGUGAGCACACAGGGCUGAUUUCCUUCAGAAUGGAUGGGUUUGAUCUUCAUGCAGUUCAUGGGACUCUCAAGAGUCUCCUCCAGCACCAUAAUUCAAAAGCAUCAAUUCUUCGGCGAUCAGCCUUCUUUAUGGUCCAGCUCUCAUUUCCAUACAUCACUAGUGGGAAAACCAUAGCAUCAUUGAUACAUCAUCACUACAUCACUGGCAUGUCACAAAAGGGGAGGGGUACACAAGGGUUGCACAAGUUCAACAUCAGGUCACUUGAUCAGACACCUUUCCCAAUGCCUUUUAAGUACCCAUCACCGAAAGAACAAUUAAACUCUUGACAUCUCCUUGCCCUCAGGACUUGUCUGGAGAUGGGCUUUCAGAACACCUGACUUGCUCAACUGCCUCUGUGGAUGUCUAUUGUUGCCCCACUGGUAACUCCCUGGGUGGGGUGCUAUGUAUGUGCUCUCAUGCUUGGGGAAUUACGGUGGGAUGCCCUGUUCCUGCUGCCCACGUGACUUCAUGCUUCUUGGUUCAUGGAGGGAGGUGGAAAUUCACCUUUCUUUAAGGGUUAAAAUGGCGUUGAAAUGAGGAGAGUCAGUUAAAGUUUGGAUUUUCUAUGAAUUUAUAAAGUUAGGUAUCUUCCCUAAGCUGUCAAGUCGAAAGGAUAUAUUCAGGCAUAAUCAUAAUAUUUGUGACAUUGUAACAACUUUAAAGAUGUUCGUCCCCCAUGUCAUUCCCAUAACAACCCCAUCUUUGUUGUUGUUGUUUAGUCGUUUAAUCGUGUCCGACUCUUCGUGACGCCAGGGACCAGAACACGCCAGGCACUCCUGUCUUCCACUGCCUCCCGCAUUUGGUCAAACUCAUUUUAGUAGCUUCGAAAACACUGUCCAAACAUCUCAUCCUCUGUGUUCCCCUUCUCCUUGUGCCCUCCAUCUUUCCCAACAUCAGGGUCUUUUCCAGGGAGUCUUCUCUUCUCAUGAGGUGGCCAAAGUAUUGGAGCCUCAGCUUCAGGAUCUGUCCUUCUAGUGAGCACUCAGGGCUGAUUUCCUUCAGAAUGGAUAGGUUUGAUCUUCUUGCAGUCCAUGGGACUCUCAAGAGUCUCCUCCAGCACCAUAAUUCAAAAGCAUCAAUUCUUCGG